rnacentral:rRNA from 1 species
CCGUAGGGUGCGAGCGUUCAUCUUAAUUCCUCGGCGUAAAGCGUGCGCAGGCGGUUUUAUAAGUCAGAUGUGCAAUCCCCGGGCUCAACCUGGGAACUGCAUUUGAGACUGUAUGACUAGAGUGUGGCAGAGGGGGGUGGAAUUCCACGUGGAGCAGUGAAAUGCGUAGAGAUGUGGAGGAACACCGAUGGCGAAGGCAGCCCCCUGGGCAAAUACUGACGCUCAUGCACGAAAGCGUGGGGAGCAAACAG